CCCGCGCAGCGUCUCUGCACACGGCCCUGCCGGCGCUGCCAUUCCCCACGAGGACUCUGGCCUGAAGUGUCGGUGCGAGGCUUCUGCAGGCGGCCAGUGAAACUAGACUAAGCACAAAGGGAAAAAAAAAAGGUGAGGAAACAGAGGCACAGAGAGAUGAAGGAUUCUUCUCAAGGCACUCAGCUGGGAAGCGGCAGAGCCAAGAUGCUGCAGCACCUCCUACUCCCAGUUGUGACAACCAGAAGUGUCUCCAGUAUUGACAGAUGUCCACUGAAGGGGAAGAAAUUGCCCUCAUUUGAGAAUCACUGGCAUAUUGUAAGUGCCCAACGCACGAUGGACAUUUGGUGAUUAUUAUUCUGACUAGACCUUAAGCUACCACAAAGCUGGCCUGCUGGGGAGGUCCUUCAGCCCUUUGCCAGGAGAAAGCUUCUUGAGGAAAUGGGGAGCUGCUUCCUGGCUGGAACUGUGAGAAGACAACCAUCUCAGACAAAGAGCUGUACUAUUUUUUGGGGGGUAUUUUCUGCACUAAGAAGUUUAUUUUUUCUUAUUACUCAAUAAAGAGCUGUGCUUUCUC